rnacentral:rRNA from 1 species
GGACAACCUGCCCUCGGGUGGGGGAUAACCCCGGGAAACUGGGGCUAAUCCCCCAUAGGGGAUGGGUACUGGAAUGUCCCAUCUCCGAAAGCGCUUAGCGCCCGAGGAUGGGUCUGCGGCGGAUUAGGUUGUUGGUGGGGUAACGGCCCACCAAGCCGAAGAUCCGUACGGGCCAUGAGAGUGGGAGCCCGGAGAUGGACCCUGACACGGGUCCAGGCCCUACGGGGCGCAGCAGGCGCGAAACCUCCGCAAUGCGGGAAACCGCGACGGGGUCAGCCGGAGUGCUCGCGCAUCGCGCGGGCUGUCGGGGUGCCUAAAAAGCACCCCAUAGCAAGGGCCGGGCAAGGCCGGUGGCAGCCGCCGCGGUAAUACCGGCGGCCCGAGUGGCGGCCACUUUUAUUGGGCCUAAAGCGUCCGUAGCCGGGCUGGUAAGUCCUCCGGGAAAUCUGGUCGCUUAACGAUCAGACUGCCGGAGGAUACUGCCAGCCUAGGGACCGGGAGAGGCCGGGGGUAUUCCCGGGGUAGGGGUGAAAUCCUGUAAUCCCGGGAGGACCACCUGUGGCGAAGGCGCCCGGCUGGAACGGGUCCGACGGUGAGGGACGAAGGCCAGGGGAGCGAACCGGAUUAGAUACCCGGGUAGUCCUGGCUGUAAACGAUGCGGACUAGGUGUCACCGAAGCUACGAGCUUCGGUGGUGCCGGAGGGAAGCCGUUA